CCUAACGACGAAAGUGUGGCGAGAGGAAGAGGAGCGGUUGAGGGAAAGAGGGAGGGAAGUGCGUAGUUUGGGGAGAGAAUUGGGUGCAUUGGGGAUUGAGAGAGAAGAGAGGCGCGGAGAAGAGAAUUUGGGAGAGAAGAGUGUGUUAGGGUUUGAAGAUAGGAGAGAAGCAGAUGGAGCUGAGCAAGCCAUGAAUGAGAGGCGGAGUGGAAGAUAGAGAUAGGGAG
rnacentral:lncRNA from 1 species